AUUGAACGCUGGCGGCAUGCCUUACACAUGCAAGUCGAACGGUAACAGGUCUUCGGAUGCUGACGAGUGGCGAACGGGUGAGUAAUACAUCGGAACGUGCCUAGUAGUGGGGGAUAACUACUCGAAAGAGUGGCUAAUACCGCAUGAGAUCUACGGAUGAAAGCAGGGGAUCGCAAGACCUUGUGCUACUAGAGCGGCCGAUGGCAGAUUAGGUAGUUGGUGGGAUAAAAGCUUACCAAGCCGACGAUCUGUAGCUGGUCUGAGAGGACGAUCAGCCACACGGGGACUGAGAACAGGCCCAGACUCCUACGGGAGGCAGCAGUGGGGAAUUUUGGACAAUGGGCGCAAGCCUGAUCCAGCAAUGCCGCGUGCAGGAUGAAGGCCUUCGGGUUGUAAACUGCUUUUGUACGGAACGAAAAGCCCUGGGUUAAUACCCUGGGGUCAUGACGGUACCGUAAGAAUAAGCACCGGCUAACUACGUGCCAGCAGCCGCCGUAA
rnacentral:rRNA from 1 species